rnacentral:rRNA from 1 species
AUUGAACGCUGGCGGCGUGCCUAACACAUGCAAGUCGAGCGGUAACAGGUGUAGCAAUACAUGCUGACGAGCGGCGGACGGGUGAGUAACGCUUGGGAAUCUGCCUAUUAGUGGGGGACAACCCGGGGAAACUCGGGCUAAUACCGCAUACGCUCUACGGAGGAAAGCCGGGGACCGCAAGGCCUGGCGCUAAUAGAUGAGCCCAAGUCGGAUUAGCUAGUUGGUAGGGUAAUGGCCUACCAAGGCGACGAUCCGUAACUGGUCUGAGAGGACGACCAGUCACACCGGAACUGAGACACGGUCCGGACUCCUACGGGAGGCAGCAGUGGGGAAUAUUGGACAAUGGGCGAAAGCCUGAUCCAGCGACGCCGCGUGGGUGAAGAAGGCCUGCGGGUUGUAAAGCCCUUUCAGUGGGGAAGAAAAGCCUCGACCUAACACGUCGGGUCUUGACGUAACCCAUAGAAGAAGCACCGGCUAACUCUGUGCCAGCCGCCGCUAUAAAACCUAAGAC